rnacentral:lncRNA from 1 species
UAUCUCUGUAGAAGUCAUUUAAAAUUUGUAUCAACCCUAUGGGAAAACACUAUUAUUUUCUGUAUUAGUGAAUGAAAAAAUUGAGUCACGAAAGGUAAAGUAAUUUGCUAAAGGUACUACAACUAAUAAAUGGUGAAGCUUGGAAUCAAAAUUCUGUGAUCUGACUCCAAAAGUCGAAGUCUUUAACCACUUGUAAUUUUGACUCUCAUUAUGAUAUGUAGGUACUCUAUUACAGCAAUUAAUGUAUAAAGUAAUUUUUAACUUCUGCACAGUGGUGCAUCCCUUUAUGAUGAGGAUACAUUCUGAGAAAUGUAUCAUUAGGCGAUGAUGUUAUCUAAACAUCAUAGUGUGUACUCGCAAAAAACCCAGAUUGCAUAGCCUACCAUACCCCUAGACUAUAUGGUUUAGCCUACUGCUUCUAGGCUAUAAACCUGUAUAGCAUGUUACUGUUCUUAAAACUGUAGGUAAUUGUAACACAGUGGUAAGUAUUUGUGUAUCUAAACAUAGAAAAAGUACAGUAAAAAUACACUAUUGUAAUCUUAUGGGGUCACUGUUGUAUAUGCAGUUUAUUGUUGAUGAAACAAAAUUAUGAUACAUAACUGUGUAUGUUUAUUUCCCUAAUAGUUUGUAAUGUCCUCAAAGAAAGAAACAUUUUCAUUUCUACAUGACCAGCAGCUAUCAUAGGGGCUGGCACACAGAUUUCUCAUCCUGGGAGAAACCAGCUGCCAGGUCUUGAGGAACACUCAAGCAGCACUGUGGGGAGACCCAUGUGGUGAGGAACUGGAGCCUCUGGAUAACACUCAGCAGAAACUGAGGCCUUCCAACAACCCCAUGAGUGAUACUGAAAGCAGAUCUCCCAGCCCCAGUCAAGCCUUCGGAUGACUGCGGCCCAGUAACAGCUUGAAUGCAACCUCACAAGAGACGUUGAGCUAGAAGCAGCUAGCCAAUCCACUCUUGGAUUCCUGACCCUCAGAAACUGAUAAUAAUAAAUGUUUGCUGUUUUAAGCUGCUAAGUUUUGUAGUAAUUUGUUACAGAGCAACAUGUAACUAUCAUAUGUUAAUAUUAACAGUGAGAUGGUGGCAAAAUACCAACCCACAAUGUGGAAGUGGCUUUAGAACUGAGCAAUGGGCUUUGACGAAAGGGUUAGUGACAGUCUGUAGUGCCUCGAACACACCGUCAAUAGAAGCCUUGUGGUUUUUCCUAAAGCUACAGGUGAGGGCUCACAGGUAAAUGAAGCAAAUGUUGGAAACUAGAGAAAGAGGGAAUUCAUUAUGUUGUAGUAAAAAAAUUAGUAAUGCUUUUGCCUGAAG